GAUGAACGCUGGCGGCGUGCCUAAUACAUGCAAGUCGAGCGAACAGACGAGGAGCUUGCUCCUCUGACGUUAGCGGCGGACGGGUGAGUAACACGUGGAUAACCUACCUAUAAGACUGGGAUAACUUCGGGAAACCGGAGCUAAUACCGGAUAAUAUAUUGAACCGCAUGGAUCAAUAGUGAAAGACGGUUUUGCUGUCACUUAUAGAUGGAUCCGCGCCGCAUUAGCUAGUUGGUAAGGUAACGGCUUACCAAGGCAACGAUGCGUAGCCGACCUGAGAGGGUGAUCGGCCACACUGGAACUGAGACACGGUCCAGACUCCUACGGGAGGCAGCAGUAGGGAAUCUUCCGCAAUGGGCGCAAGCCUGACGGAGCAACGCCGCGUGAGUGAUGAAGGUCUUCGGAUCGUAAAACUCUGUUAUUAGGGAAGAACAAAUGUGUAAGUAACUAUGCACGUCUUGACGGUACCUAAUCAGAAAGCCACGGCUAACUACGUG
rnacentral:rRNA from 1 species